GACGAACGCUGGCGGCGUGCUUAACACAUGCAAGUCGAACGGAAAGGCCUGCUUUCCCUUGUGGAUUGCGGGUACUCGAGUGGCGAACGGGUGAGUAACACGUGAGUGAUCUGCCCCCAACUUGGGUAUAAGCCUGGGAAACUGGGUCUAAUUCCCGAUAGGACUGCAGGGUGGUGCCUGUGGUGGCAAACGAUUUUCUAGUGGUUGGGGAUGAGCUCGCGGCCUAUCAGCUUGUUGGUGGGGUAAUGGCCUACCAAGGCGGCGACGGGUAGCCGGCCUGAGAGGGUGGACGGCCACAUUGGGACUGGGAUACGGCCCAGACGCCUACGGGAGGCAGCAGUGGGGAAUAUUGCACAAUGGGCGGGAGCCUGAUGCAGCGACGCCGCGUGGGGGAUGACGGCCUUCGAGUUGUAAACUCCUUUCGACCGCGAGGAAGCCACCUGGUUGGAAGGGUGGUGACGGUAGUGGUAGAAGAAGCACCGGCUAACUACGUG
rnacentral:rRNA from 1 species